rnacentral:rRNA from 1 species
GAUGAACGCUAGCGGCAGGCUUAACACAUGCAAGUCGAGGGGUAUGCCGAUUUAUCGGCAGAGACCGGCGCACGGGUGCGUAACGCGUAUGCAAUCUACCUUUCACAGAGGGAUAGCCCAGAGAAAUUUGGAUUAAUACCUCAUAGUAUAGCAGUUUCGCAUGAAACCACUAUUAAAGUUCCAACGGUNAAAGAUGAGCAUGCGUCCAUUAGCUAGAUGGUAAGGUAACGGCUUACCAUGGCUACGAUGGUAGGGUCCUGAGAGGGAGAUCCCCCACACUGGUACUGAGACACGGACCAGUACU